rnacentral:rRNA from 1 species
UACGGAGGGUGCAAGCGUUAUCCGGAUUCACUGGGUUUAAAGGGUGCGUAGGUGGGUUGGUAAGUCAGUGGUGAAAUCUCCGUGCUUAACAUGGAAACUGCCAUUGAUACUACUGAUCUUGAAUUUUCAGGAGGUAAGCGGAAUAUGUCAUGUAGCGGUGAAAUGCUUAGAUAUGACAUAGAACACCAAUUGCGAAGGCAGCUUACUACAGGAAU